rnacentral:rRNA from 1 species
CUGCUCAGUAACACGUGGAUAACCUGCCCUUGGGUCCGGCAUAACCCCGGGAAACUGGGGAUAAUUCCGGAUAACGCACAUAUGCUGGAAUGCUUUAUGCGUCAAAUGGAUUCGUCUGCCCAAGGAUGGGUCUGCGGCCUAUCAGGUAGUAGUGGGUGUAAUGUACCUACUAGCCGACGACGGGUACGGGUUGUGAGAGCAAGAGCCCGGAGAUGGAUUCUGAGACAUGAAUCCAGGCCCUACGGGGCGCAGCGGGCGCGAAAACUUUACAAUGCGGGAAACCGUGAUAAGGGGACACCGAGUGCCAGCAUCAUAUGCUGGCUGUCCGGGUGUGUAAAAUACACCUGUUAGCAAGGGCCGGGCAAGACCGGUGCCAGCCGCCGCGGUAACACCGGCGGCCCGAGUGGUGAUCGUGAUUAUUGGGUCUAAAGGGUCCGUAGCCGGUUUGGUCAGUCCUCCGGGAAAUCUGACGGCUUAACCGUUAGGCUUUCGGAGGAUACUGCCAGGCUUGGAACCGGGAGAGGUAAGAGGUACUACAGGGGUAGGAGUGAAAUCUUGUAAUCCCUGUGGGACCACCUGUGGCGAAGGCGUCUUACCAGAACGGGUUCGACGGUGAGGGACGAAAGCUGGGGGCACGAACCGGAUUAGAUACCCGGGUAGUCCCAGCCGUAAACGAUGCUCGCUAGGUGUCAGGCAUGGCGCGACCGUGUCUGGUGCCGCAGGGAAGCCGUGAAGCGAGCCACCUGGGAAGUACGGCCGCAAGGCUGAAACUUAAAGGAAUUGGCGGGGGAGCAC